rnacentral:rRNA from 1 species
GAUGAACGCUGGCGGUAUGCCUUAUACAUGCAAGUCGUACGAGAGUUUUUAACUCAAGUGGCGGACGGGUGAGUAACACGUAAGAAUUUACCUUUAGGAGGGGGAUAACAACUGGAAACGGUUGCUAAUACCCCAUAUGCUUUCGAGUGAAAUGGAUUUUCCGCCUAAAGAGAAGCUUGCGGCUGAUUAGCUUGUUGGUGAGGUAAUGGCUCACCAAGGCGACGAUCAGUAUCUGGUUUGAGAGGACGAUCAGACACACUGGAACUGAGACACGGUCCAGACUCCUACGGGAGGCAGCAGUAGGGAAUUUUCCGCAAUGGGCGAAAGCCUGACGGAGCAAUACCGCGUGAGGGAUGACGGCCUAUGGGUUGUAAACCUCUUUUUUCAGGGA